UUGGAGAGAGAAAGGCAAAGGAAGAGCCUUUAUUCCUUUCCCUUCAUACUGCAAUUUACCUUUGUUUAUUUUCCUUCGCUGUCUCUCUAGGGCUUCUCUAUCUUUCAUCAUUUAAUCCAGAAAUGAUCGAUUUUGCCCGCGUACAAAAAGAGCUUCAAGAAUGCAGCAGAGACAUAGAAGCCUCUGGCAUCAAAGUCACCCCCAAAUCCGAGAAUCUUGCUCGCUUGACUGGCACCAUUCCUGGACCAAUCGGCACUCCUUAUGAGGGUGGCACUUUCCAAAUUGAUAUUUCACUGCCUGAUGGAUAUCCUUUCGAGCCUCCCAAAAU
rnacentral:misc_RNA from 1 species